rnacentral:rRNA from 1 species
AACGGCGGCCGUAACUAUAACGGUCCUAAGGUAGCGAAAUUCCUUGUCAGGUAAGUUCUGACCCGCAUGAAAGGCGUAAUGAUCUGGGCACUGUCUCAACAGCCCGCCCGGCGAAAUUGUAGUACCGGUGAAGAUGCCGGUUACCCGCGACAAGACGGAAAGACCCCAUGGAGCUUUACUGUAGCCUAAUAUUGGGUUUCGGUGUUGCAUGCACAGGAUAGAUGGGACGCUGGGAAGUGAGUGCUUUGGCAUUCAUGGAGCGGCCGUUGGGAUACCAUCCUUGCGACAUUGGAAUUCUAACCUGCGCCUUUGAAUCAAGGCGGGGGACAUUGUUAGGUGGGCAGUUUGACUGGGGCGGUCGCCUCCUAAAGAGUAGCGGAGGCGUUCAAAGGUUGGCUCGUCCUGGACGGAAACCAGGAGAGAGAGUGCAAACGCAAAAGCCAGCCUGACUGCGAGACUGACGGGUCGAGCAGAGACGAAAGUCGGAGUUAGUGAUCCGGUGGUAUGUGAGUGGAAAUGCCAUCGCUCAACGGAUAAAAGUUACCCUGGGGAUAACAGGCUGAUCUCCCCCAAGAGUCCACAUCGACGGGGAGGUUUGGCACCUCGAUGUCGGCUCAUCGCAUCCUGGGGCUGAAGUAGGUCCCAAGGGUUGGGCUGUUCGCCCAUUAAAGCGGUACGCGAGCUGGGUUCAGAACGUCGUGAGACAGUUCGGUCCCUAUCUGUCGUGGGCGCAGGAUAUUUGAAAGGCGCUGUCCCUAGUACGAGAGGACCGGGAUGGACGAACCUCUGGUGCACCAGUUGUCACGCCAGUGGCACAGCUGGGCAGCUAUGUUCGGAUCGGAUAAACGCUGAAAGCAUCUAAGCGUGAAGCCGGCCUUAAGAUAAGAUAUCCCACUGAGACAAUCAGGUAAGACCCCUUGAAGACUACAAGGUUGAUAGGCACAAUGUGUAAGUGGCGCGAGUCAUUGAGCAAGCGUGUACUAAUAGGUCGAGGGCUUGACCCC